rnacentral:rRNA from 1 species
CAGCAGCCGCGGUAAUACGUAGGGUGCGAGCGUUAAUCGGAUUUACUGGGCGUAAAGCGUGCGCAGGCGGCCCGUUAAGACAGGUGUGAAAUCCCUGGGCUCAACCUAGGAAUUGCGCUUGUGACUGGCGGGCUCGAGUACGGUAGAGGGGGGUGGAAUUCCUGGUGUAGCAGUGAAAUGCGUAGAGAUCAGGAGGAACACCGAUGGCGAAGGCAGCCCACUGGGCCUGUACUGACGCUCAUGCACGAAAGCGUGGGGAGCAAACAGGAUUAGAUACCCUGGUAGUCCACGCCCUAAACGAUGGGUACUAGCCGUUUGGUGCGGGAUAGCGCUGAGUGGCGAAGCUAACGCGUGAAGUACCCCGCCUGGGGAGUACGGCCGCAAGGUUGAAACUUAAAGGAAUUGGCGGG